rnacentral:piRNA from 1 species
CACUAAAGUACGUGAUGUCUGGUUAGA